rnacentral:tRNA from 1 species
AGCGGAGUAGCUCAGUCUGGCAGAGCAAGCGGCUCAUAAUCGCUGUGUCGCCGGUUCAAAUCCGGCCUCCGCUACCG